UUUGAGUUUGAUCCUGGCUCAGGAUUAACGCUAAUAACAUGCUUUACACAUGCAAGUCAUACGCUAUUAAUAAGCGUGGCGUACGGGUGAGUAAUCUCACAAGUCACUUUAUACUUUACAGAUAGGAAUAAUACUGCACAUGUUUUAUACUUAAAACUUUGUAUAACCGGUAAAUACCUUCAAAGAAAUAAAAUUCGCUGUAAAAUUAACUUGUGAAAGAUUAGGUAGUUGGUGGUAACACAUCAAGCCUUCGAUCUUUAGUUGGUCUGCGAGGACGAUCAACCACACUGGAACUGAAAUAUGGUCCAGGCCGUAUAUGGCCAGCAGUGAGGAAUAUUGGACAAUGAACGAAAGUUUGAUCCAGCAAUGUUAUAUGAUUGAUGACGGCUUUUCAAAGUUGUAAAACUCUGUCACCUAAAAGGAUAAAUGACAUUUUAGGUAAAUAGUCCCGGCUAAUACUCGUGCCAGCAGCCGCGGUAAUACGGGAGGGGCAAGCGUUAUCCGAAAUAACUGGGCGUAAAGGGUCCGUAGAUUGUGUUGUAAGUUACUUCAAAAAUACUAGAGGCCUAACCUCAGUCUGAAGUUAAUACUACUCCACUCGAGUUGAUAACAGAAGAAUAGAACUCUGUAAGAAGAGAUAAAAUUCGCAGAUAAACAGAAGAACACCUAUUUGGCGUAAGCAAUUCUUUAGUAACAACUGACGUUGAGGGACGAAAGUGUAGGUAGCAAACAGGAUUAGAUACCCUGGUAGUCUACACCGUAAAUGCUGAGUGCUCAAACUUAAAUUUUUAGGUUUCAAGCUAACGCGUUAAGCACUCCGCCUGAGGAGUACGAUCGCAGGAUUGGAACUCAAAGGAAUUGACGGGGGCCUACCACAAGUGGUGGAGCAUGUGGUUUAAUGCGAUAAUCCGCGCGAAACCUUACCAGCCUUUGUAUAAAACAAAAAAGAACUUUCUAAUUCUCCCUAAAAAAUAAAAUUUUUUCUGGAGUAAUUCUGUUUUACAGGUGUUGCACGACUGUCGUCAGCUCGUGUCGUGAGAUCGUUGGUUAAUUCCUUAAACGGGCGUAACUCUUCUUUUCAAACACUUUAACGUAAAAACACUGCUCAUUAUAAGUGAGAGGAAGAAAAGAAUCACGUCAAGUCUCUGUGGCCCUAAUAGGCUGGGCUACACAUGUGCUACAAUGGAAACUACAAUUGUAAUUUUAAAAGUUUCCUCAGUUCGGAUUGUAGACUGAAACUCGUCUACAUGAAGCCGGAAUCACUAGUAAUCGUAAAUCAGCAUGUUACGGUGAAUAUGUAAAUUGGCCUUGUACACACCGCCCGUCACAUGCAGGAAGUUUAUUUCGCUUGAAGCGUAGAAAAUAACUUUAUUAGAUAUAAAAAAAAAUUCGCGCCAUUGAGAAAAAAGUAACUUGGAUGAAGUCGUAACAAGGUAGCUGUACGG
rnacentral:rRNA from 1 species